AAGAAAAUCCGAAGCUCCAAUUCUGAGCCACUCAGGACAGAAAGUGAGUUCCAUGGCCAGAACUUAGAAAACCACCCUACCAAAAAUUGCACUUUUCAACAGAAAUCAAUCAAUGGCGUCAAUAGCCACCUGCUUCACACUUCCACCGAAGCCGCGUUCUCGCCUCGUGUUCAAAGCCUCACUUUUCCCCAACCGUCCCAAAACCUUUCGUCUUAUCCAAACGCCCAUUUUCCCGGGCUUUGGCGCGAAGUUUCGAGAAUCUAGGGUUUUUGUCCCGGCUGUGAAGGCAAGCCUCGACGCCACCACUGCAAUUAGGCCCGGCGGUGCUGUCGAGAGCGAUAAGUUGCCUUCAGAUGUGAGAAAGCGAGCAAUGGAAGCUGUGGACGCUUGUGGAGGAAGAGUGACGAUUGGUGACGUGGCCGGUAGGUCUGGGCUGAAGCUCAAUGAAGCUCAGAAUGCUUUGCAAGCUCUCGCUGCUGACACAGAAGGCUUCUUGGAGGUCUCGGAUGAAGGUGAUGUACUCUAUGUUUUCCCCAAGGAUUAUCGAGCAAAGCUUGUAGGCAAAUCGUUUAGAAUGAAAGUUGAGCCUCUGCUUGAGAAGGCAAAGGCCGGGGCCGAGUAUGUAGCAAGGGUUUCAUUUGGAACUGCCCUAAUUGCUUCCAUUGUUCUUGUUUAUACUGCAAUUGUUGUUGCUCUGUCUUCUGGUAGAAGUGAAGAUGACAAUCGCGGAAGACGGGGAGGAAGGUCGUAUGAUUCGGGGUUCAAUUUUUACUUCAGCCCCACUGACCUCUUUUGGUACUGGGAUCCAUAUUACUAUAGGAGGCGACGACCACAAACAGAUGAUAAUAAGAUGAAAUUCGUUGAAUCUAUUUUCUCAUUUGUAUUUGGCGAUGGUGAUCCAAACCAAGGAAUCGAAGAAGAGAGAUGGAAGUUGAUUGGGCAAUACAUAGCCUCUAAUGGUGGAGUUGUUGCAGCUGAAGAGCUUGCUCCAUAUCUUGAUGUAGAAACUUCCGGGGGAACUCUGAAUGAUGAAACAUACAUCUUACCUGUUCUUUUACGGUAUGAGGGUCAGCCUGUAAUAGAUGAAGAGGGAAACAUUCUGUACCAAUUUCCAUCUCUACAGCGCACAGCUUCUACUCCAAGUAGUGGAAGGAAGGAAUAUGUGGGGAGAAGAUGGGCUGAUUUUGUUGGAGGAGUUGAUAAAUUUUUCAAGGAGAAGAAAUGGCAAUUCAGCAACACUAGCAUUACUGAGAGAGCAAUGGUCGCUGGACUUGGUGGGCUUAAUUUAUUUGGGGUUAUCUUUCUUGGAGCCAUCUUAAAGGAUAGUUCAAUUGCACCAGUUGGUUUUAUUAAGUUUAUUACUGGCAUAUUUCCACUACUUCAGAUUUAUGCUGGUUCGUUCUUUGCAAUUCCUUUGUUCCGGUGGUUCAUCGUGCUUAAGACAAAUGCUGACAUAGAGAAAAGAAAUCAAGCAAGACAGCAGUGUGCUCGAGCCCUUGAAUUGCCAGAUCUUUCACUAAGACGAAAGCUCCUCAGUGCUCGGGACAUGGCCCAAAGAACAUUCAUUGGGCAGGAUAGAAUUGUCUAUAGUACGGACAGGGAUCUGGUUGAGCAAGACUACGAGGCCCAAGAAUGGGAUAAGAGAUUUCGAGAAAUAGAGAAAUCAGAUUGAGAAGAGGCUACUGUUACUUGGUCUGGACGAAAAAAAAGGAGAGUUUUGUAUGAGUACCCUAAAUAUCAAUCGCAGAUAGUCUUUAAGGAGUCUCCUUGAUCAAGUACUAGCGGUACUGGUUGACUUCUUUGACGAAUAUUAGAGUUUCACAACUUUUGGUGCAAGUAGUUGAUGCGCUAGUGAUGGUACCUGCAUUUGUUUGAAGUGUACAUUCUGAAGUUUUUGUGGGGUGCAGCAGGGAAUGAUACCUUGUAAUAUAGAUUUCAGGUGGACAACAUUAUUUUACACAUGAAAGAAUUUAAGAAUCACAGGGCUCAUAUAUAUGUUUUAGGAUCCCCUUGAUCUGCAAUUUGUUGAAUCUUGGACACGAGUGGUUUGCUGUGGCAGUGAAGAUCUUCACCUGGGAGGCCAAAAAAGGAGUGCAACGGGAAUCCUAUAUCGAUUGUUAGAAACAAGUGCAUCAUAGUAGAACGUUAAUAGGUGUUGGGCAUUUCCAAAUUCUAUGUCAUGACAAUUGGGGUCUGUAAUUGUCUCUGCUUCAAUUAAGAAAAAUUUAGACUGCUUAGAACUGAAAAGCAAAGAUUGGUCACACUUAUUGCUGGUUAUAACUAAAAUAGUUCCUAUCAAAUACUAACCCCUCCUGUCCGAAAGGGCUUCAAGGAGUUAAGAUAUUGAUUUGUCUAUCAUAUUGGGGAUUGAGAUAUAAGUUUA